rnacentral:tRNA from 1 species
GCCUCGGUAGCGCAGUAGGUAGCGCGUCAGUCUCAUAAUCUGAAGGUCGUGAGUUCGAUACUCACCUGGGGCA